UUCUGGCUCAGGAUGAACGCUGGCGGCGUGCUUCAUACAUGCAAGUCGAACGAGAAUGGUAGCUUGCUACCAGGAAAGUGGCGGACGGGUGAGUAAUACAUAGGGAAUCUGCCCUUAGCCGGGGGACAACAGUUGGAAACGACUGCUAAUACCGCAUAUGAGUAUAGUUGAGAUAUUAUACUUGAAAACUCCGGUGGCUAAGGAUGAGCCUGUGCCUGAUUAGUUAGUUGGCGGGUAAAGGCCCACCAAGGCGACGAUCAGUAGCUGGUUUGAGAGGAUGAUCAGCCACAAUGGGACUGAGACACGGCCCAUACUCCUACGGGAGGCAGCAGUAGGGAAUUUUGCGCAAUGGGCGAAAGCCUGACGCAGCAACGCCGCGUGUGUGAUGAAGCCCCUAGGGGUGUAAAACACUGUCGGUGGGGACGAAAGAUGACGGUACCCACAGAGGAAGCACCGGCUAACUCCGUGCCAGCAGCCGC
rnacentral:rRNA from 1 species